UCACUUUUAACGACCACUUCCUAACAACGGGUCAUAAAUCCAGUCGUUAUAAGUGUAUAUAUAACGACAAGAUAUUUUUCCGGUCGUUGAAAUCAAUUUCUAAAUUAGAAACAACGAAAGGAUAAAUUCCAGUCUUUGAAAGUAGUUAUAUCGGUCGUUAAAACUAGAUAAAAGAGCGCCAGAUAUAUUUAUUUUUGCUAUUCUAACAAAUUCUUUUAUCAUUUGGCUAACUUUCUUUUAGUACUUUUUUUUUUGUUUAAUUACAAUCUCCUACUCGUGGAAACCCCCAUUCCUUCUCUUCCAAAAUCAUAAUUUGUCUGAGAGCCCUAAUCUCCAAUACCGCCUGCAUCUUGGUCAUGCGAAAUCGGGUGAUCAGUCGACCUCUCGAUUCUUGUAUGUGAUAUAAUUACAUUAUGAAACUAGACAACACCGAGGGUUUCAAAUUGGUCAUCAACAAAACGCCCAUGUCUCUGACACUACAGGUACUCUUCAAGUUUCUACUCUUUUUGUGGAAGAUUAUGUUAAAAAAUUUCAAAGUGAGGUCUUCAAGUCAUGCCAUAUGGAUUCUGUUAAGAGAAAUCAUUACCGGAAUCUACUGGACAGUAAGUUAUCUGAAUCUUUAAAGUAAUAUGUGGUUGAUUUAUAUUUUCUAAGUUUAAAAAUGUAUUAGACAUUUGGGUUUGUCUUCUAAGGGCUUGUUGUUAACAAUCCGAGCUACGCUAUGCUAGUGUCGAUAUAUCUUAAUCCUCUGUAAUCCUAGCUCAUUUUCUAUUAAGAAAUAUUGUAUCUCAUUUUUUUUCUGUUUCAUUUUUGCCCUUGUAUGAUGAAUACAUGCUUGAUUUACUCCAUGUUUCUAAUGGACCCAUUAUCUAACACAAAAGGUGUGCUUCUUUAUGACUGAAAUGUCACCACAAUUGUCUGAUACGUGCGAGUUUUAAAACUGGUCUAAAUGGCUUAGUCAGACCAUUAUUUGAUGAAAAACUUCUUUAUGUAAAUCUUUAUCUUGAUUCUCUUUGUUGACAUUUAAGAACAUAUUUGGACAACCACUUUAGAGCCUGUGUUAUACUAGAAAUGAAUUUGAUAGUCCAGUAAGUUUGAAGUGUAUUUCUAGAAAACCAAGAAGAAUUAUUUUUGUGCUAAUAAGUUCCUGUAAGGUCUUAGCCCUUAGUUGGUUUGAAAAUGAGCAUAUAAGUAAGUAAUACGAAUAAGAUUGUUUGAAAUAUGUUCCCGCUACGUGAUUUAGCCUGUCUUGUUGUUUGAAAGUUCUUUUGAUGGUAAGUUUGAGUGAUUAAAACUCUUGUUUACUUGGAGUGCAUUAUUGGAUUCGAGCUUGCAUUUAGAAAAUUUGCCUCAGGUUCCCAGACUCAAUGAUAAAAUUUAUACUUUAAUAAAUAUAAUUUAGGAUCCUAAUAUAGAGAUUUUGAUCUCUGACUCAUAAUCCUUCAUUGUGUUUAUGCAUAAAUAUAUGGACUGUUUGUCCUUUUCAGGAAAAGAAUGAGAUUAUUUUUGAGUCUAUACAUCGAUGAAUAAGAGUAUCACUAAAAAAAAGGGUAAUUUGCGGAGGUUGAAAGUUGCAAUUCGCGGGGGUUUUAGCCUCCGCUAAUUGCUUGAGGAGGCUAAAACCCCCACAAAUUGCAACUUUCAACCUCCGCAAAUUACCCCCUUUUUGUAGUGUAUACUGCCAAACAUUGAUUUUUU